rnacentral:rRNA from 1 species
AGUGAACGCUGGCGGUAGGCCUAACACAUGCAAGUCGAACGGCAGCACAGUAAGAGCUUGCUCUUACGGGUGGCGAGUGGCGGACGGGUGAGGAAUACAUCGGAAUCUACUUUUUCGUGGGGGAUAACGGAGGGAAACUUACGCUAAUACCGCAUACGACCUACUGGUGAAAGCAGGGGAUCUUCGGACCUUGCGCGAUUGAAUGAGCCGAUGUCGGAUUAGCUAGUUGGCGGGGUAAAGGCCCACCAAGGCGACGAUCCGUAGCUGGUCUGAGAGGAUGAUCAGCCACACUGGAACUGAGACACGGUCCAGACUUCUACGGGAGGCAGCAGUGGGGAAUAUUGGACAAUGGGCGCAAGCCUGAUCCAGCCAUACCGCGUGGGUGAAGAAGGCCUUCGGGUUGUAAAGCCCUUUUGUUGGGAAAGAAAAGCAGCAGGUUAAUACCCCGCUGUUCUGACGGUACCCAAAGAAUAAGCACCGGCUAACUUCGUGC